AUUGUGUUUGAGGUUUUUAGAAUUAUCUCGAUGAGUAUUUAGUUACCUAUGGUAAGAAAAGAACAGUCAGCGACAAAAGUUUGUACCCAAAAAAGAUAAAAACUUUUUUUUUUGGCAAAAACUUACCUAUUUAUAAAACAGUUUCGUUACUUAUAUACUGACAGACAACACAUACAGCUUAAUAAAUCGUUGAAGUUAAAACUAUGAAAUUUAAAACAUUACAUAUAUAGUACAAAUGGUGUAGAGGUGCCCUAAGGUAGGAUUUUCUGAAAUUUAACCCUUAAGGGGUAAGAAGGGGCUUAAAGUUAUUUAAGUUAUCUUUAAUUAUGUGAGUGUAUUUUUCAGUUAAAAUAUAAGUGAUUGUGACUGAUAAUGUUUUUUAUUUUCAUAACUGCAAAUCUGCUUUCAACUGGCCUGGAUAUACAAGGAGACAAAUCAUGAAUGGACCAGAGCAACCAUGUUGAGCUACCUUCUUAUAAUAAUUAAGAAGUGGAGGGCGAUCCUUAUUUUAACAGUCGGAAACUUAUGCCUGACGAAACCGAGACGUUAUAUAAAAUGCAUUUAUGAUUGUUUCAGAGCCGGGGAAGGACAUCAGGAUAGUUUCUAUGAUUCAUCAUCAUUCUACGUCUACGCGUACGAAGUCGAGGGCAGAAACUAGUACUUAAAUAAAUGCAAUAUAAAUAAUAUUACUUAAUUAAGAGGGUAACAUAAAUAAUAACUAGACUUCGAUAGGUACCUAAAACAGUUUUAUAUUAAAUCAGGUUUCGUUGGAGGAAGAGUCCGAAUUUUGAGCAACGAUGCUAUGCGAGAAGUCGCGCAAAACAACGCGAGUUGCGUAUCCUGUACUGGAGGCCAAGACCCACGGUGCUGCUGAUUUACAAAUGAAAAUUUGUGUAAUGAUAUGCAAACGAAACCAGAGGAAUUAAGUGUUCAGCGGAACUGCUCCUGAAAAAAAGAUUGCUGUCAUAAGGUAUGUUUAUUAAUAAAUAUGUACAUAUUGUGGUACCUAAUAGGUAAUAUUACCGUGCUACAUCACUCGUUCUCUAAUCUCAAAGUCAAAUGGACCCCAUUCCAUGUAGGCAGACAUUCAUAAUAACGUUUAUAUAAAUCAAAUGUUUGCGUUCUUAACAUUUCAUAACAUACCAACGAAAUUAAAAAUUAUUAUUAAACAGAAACGUUUGCGAACGAUCCAGGGGCCGUGAGUUCAAGUCUCACCUAAGGCAGUAAUUUUUCUCUUAAGUAACUUUUUAAUUUAUUAGAUACUUUCUUAUUAAGUACUUUAUUGUGCAACCAGGACUCUUAGCGUCUAAGACGAAGAGGCAAUCUUAGAAUUCGGUUCAACUAUAUGUAGUCGUAUGGCGCAAACACAUACAAUAUGUAUUUUUAUUUUAUAUUUCAUUGAAAUAAACGAUCCGUUUAAUUAUAUUAUGUACUCAUAGAGGUAGACAUUAAUAUUUCAUACAAAAAAAAGUUGACCAGCUAAAAAUUGGGCCCGAAAAUGCGAAAAAGUUAUUUUUUUUAAUUAUAAAUCAAGAUGACAGAAUAUCCAAAGGUAUGCCACGGUUUUAAGAUGAUUGUUAUAAAAUCAAGAAAAACAAAUAUAAUGUGAUGUACUUGUGUACAUAUUGUAAUAAAUAAAUGAACGUGGAGAUUUACUGAAAGUCUUUCCCGAGGGCCUCCAUGACGACACGUUGUGCCCUCCCAUUGCGACCAGGCCCACAUAUAUCGACAACGAGCUAUUUUGCCUUGUGGUACGUAAUUACUGAUAUUUAAAUGAAUUUGGACUUAUUGUGUUUUACGCUGUUGAAUUUCGGUAAAGGUCAAUGUCGGGAAGUCCAUCUAUAAGAGAAGACAGUCUGACAAGCUCUUUCGUCGCUUUUAACUCCCUUUAAUUUUACACUCACUGAAGCGAUCAGGUCUAGCGAGUAGCAGUCUAAAAUGAUCGCCGACUGCGUUGAGUUUUGCGCAUGCCACAGACUUUUUUCAGUUUAUAAUUUAUAUUAUACUACUUACUAUGUCGACUUACUACUGUGACUACUUAAUAAAAAAAACACAAAUCAAAAUAUUUAAUAAUAUGAUUUGAUUUGUUCCCAAUGUUGUAGGUAUUAUGACUGUGUGUUACUUUAUUUUAUGUAGGUACGUAUUGUAUGUGUUUGUGUACAUGGUUGAAAAUAAAUAAUUUGAAAUUAAAAUAUUUAGAGAGCACUAAAUUUGAAACGCUUGUUUCAUGUAUAAAAAAUAAAUUAAGUAGGGUGACUGCUAUAGUUAUUGGCCACUACAUAGGAAUUGGCCACUCAUAACAAUAAGACUUCAAUUGGCUUCUUUCUUCCUGAUUUGUUAGGAGUGGCCAAUAACUAUAGCAGUCACCCUAGGUAAGCGUAACCAAAACUAAAACGCACAAUUUCUUUUUCAGAGAUGCGGGUAUCUACUUUUAAUAUGUGUGACCAGCCUAUAAGAUCGAACC